UACGUAGGGUGCGAACGUUAAUCGGAAUUACUGGGCGUAAAGCGUGCGCAGGCGGUUCGUUGUGUCCGUCGUGAAAGCCCCGGGCUUAACCUGGGAACUGCGAUGGAAACUAGCGAGCUGGAGUGUGGCAGAGGGGGGUGGAAUUCCGCGUGUAGCAGUGAAAUGCGUAGAGAUGCGGAGGAACACCGAUGGCGAAGGCAGCCCCCUGGGCUAACACUGACGCUCAGGCACGAAAGCGUGGGGAGCAAACAGG
rnacentral:rRNA from 1 species